UUGAUCUGAAAUCAGGCGGGAUUACCCGCU
rnacentral:rRNA from 1 species